CCUUCUCUAGAUUAGGUUAGAUCAGCUACCGAUAAUUGGGACCUUCUGCUGCAGCGCAGGUUGUAAUGGUGUGUCACCCUGGCUGCCUGGGUUCACGCCUUUGCCGGCAGCCAGCGCGUUGCUGAUGUCGCCGGGAGGAGGACGCUGCUUCCAAUGCCAUCCUGCUGCUUGGCUGUGGACGACCUCGAGCAGGAUGUCUUUGGGGUGGCACUUGGACACAA